UACAGAGGUCUCAAGCGUUGUUCGGAUUCAUUGGGCGUAAAGGGUGUGUAGGCGGUUCCUUAAGUUUGCUGUGAAAUCUCCCGGCUUAACCGGGAGGGUGCGGUGAAUACUGAGGGACUAGAGUACGGGAGAGGAAAGUGGAAUUCCUGGUGUAGCGGUGACAUGCGUAGAUAUCAGGAGGAACACCGGUGGUGUAGACGGCUUUCUGGACCGUAACUGACGCUGAGACACGAAAGCGUGGGUAGCAAACAGG
rnacentral:rRNA from 1 species